UCCCUUGUCUCAUCUUUUCAAAACGGGCACUGCUGCCUAUAAGCCUGUUGCUCGGUAACUGCAUUCUGGCACCAAUGCCUCUCACUCUCGUGGUUCAAAUGCAUAAUGAAACGGAUAGUAGCCCCUGCCUUGUCCAUUGGAUAGUCAAUCUUACUCGUGUAGGUAUUCCACCAAUUACUUGUGUUCCUUUUCCCCCUACCUCGAACCUUGCUUUUUUAACUAAAACUAAUAGGAUUAGGUUCGAUUGCUAGGCUUACCUUACCAUAUCCCAGGCUUGACUCUCAUCUACGAGCCUGCCCUGCCUUGGUUUCAUGCCUUAAUAACUCCCCCCGGAUUCGGGUUCUUUCACACCUAGCUCCCAAACUGACACUGCUACUAGCAAUGCUGGAACUAAGAACUUAGAACCGGGCUGCCACUAACAAGCCUGCCCUACCUACAUACUUCUUACAUUCUCAAUCCCUUUGCUUGAACUCCCCCUUUUCUUUCUUAACUACCUUAUUGAUUCUAUUGACUUAUAUUAAAAGCAUGACUUAUCUAUCUAUUCUCUUUAAAUAAUAUAUAUUCUCAGAAGCCCUUGUUUCCGUCCUGUCCAGUUGGUACGAGCUCAACUCUUGUUAUCGGUAGGCGCCAGGCACACCAUCUUUAGAGAUACUUUUCAUUCUUUCUCGCCUUUGCCUUUACUUCCCUUUCUAAGAAAGUAUAAUGUACUAGUAGUUCAAAUGUAUACAUGCACUAAAUUACUUACCUUGAUUACUGGAUGACGUACCAGCACUUUCAAUAGAAAGUCUUAAAUUGAUAAUGAAGUUUGCUAUCACUAGGUUGUCGAGUGAGUUUGCUAUCACUAGGUUGUCGAGAGGGAGCACUCUACAGGGGAGAAUCUUAUGGAUCAGAGUAAUUGGUCCAUUUCUUUCAAACAAUCUAGUACUACUUGAAAACAUUAGCGGAAGAUUGCGAUCGGGCCCCAACAAAAAAAAGAAUGAGACAAUCCCUAUAGCGCCUGCACACCUUCACGCACAAUCAGACCCAAGGCAGAAACAAACACACCCAGAUCGGGGACAUGCACAGAGUCUUUGAGUAGCAUCCCAGGGGCAUUACUCAUUCUUGGUUUGACUCUGAUACAUGCCCUAACUACUUGUUCUCCUAAAUGGGAUAGGACUAACUAACCAAUAAUAGGAAGAAUCCCACUACCGCUUCAAAACCUGCCUCUCUUUCCGCUAAUUCUGACUUAUCGGGUUAACUCCCUUCUCCGAACCCACCGAUUCUGUCUUGACUAUCUAUGAGCCUACUCUGACUUUCUUCUUACUGUUAGGGCGCUAUUCUACCAAUACGAACUCCAAAGCUUACUACCCGGCCUUGCAUGCCAAAAGCCUCCAUUCCUCUGUUCCCGGUUCCAAUGUUCUAGUUUCCUUCUUGCUUUCCUUGCCUUUGCACUAGAUCGUACCCCGAACACGCUGCCGCUACACUCUUUCGACCUAGAUCCUUACUACCAAGACCUAAACUCAAAUCUUUGCUUUACUAGCUAUUAGCCCGGCACUACUUGAUCUAAAUCUCAUUCCUAUACUAAUCAAAUAAGUGGGCUACUUACUACAGAAAAGAAGUUGUACUUAUUAACCUAAUUUAGCUAAGCAACCUACUAACAAAUCUAAUAUGAUAAAACAUAUUCUACUAUAAGAUAAGGAAAUACUUAAUUGUCUACAUCAAAUACAGAGCGAAAGUCAAGAAAUAGAAGCUAAGGUGUUUGCUCGGGAGUGGCGUAGUGAGAUAUAAGUCCUUCUUAUGCGUUUGAUUCUGACUUUGGAGUUGUUGCCUGUAGUAUAUGCUAGUGAAUCCUGUAUUCGUGUUGGAGUACGCCUAGGUUCCUUAUCUUAUGUAUCAUCCUUCCCUUGUUCCCACCUAACCUCUGGCCUUUCAUAAUUGGAGAGCGAAAAGACGUUGAAAUAGUAAAUGCAGAAUUGAACUCCGCGGUACAGGAGCCAGUUAGUCAGAAAAGGAAUGCGACUUAGUUUAGUAAAUAGGCAGUAGAAGCCGGGGAGUGCCGAUCGGAAUUCCACUCAAUAGUAGAAGGGGCGUAGCUGGAAUCAAGAAUGCGAGGUACGAUCCCAUAAUUAGUAAUAGAACUGUUGAGUACGAUCUAUGACAUAUAGGUAUAAUAAUUAGUAUCGGGUAAAUCAAAAGGAGUUUGAAUAGUGGGCUAGCCUUCAAGUCUGUAUUACUGGUUGGCUUCUUUGACUAGCUUAGAGACAGUGGAGGCAGGCCCCAGCUCUAACUACAGAGUAAAAGGCGGGAUAGAAAGACUUAGUUCCCGGGCAUGGAGGUAGUUCAGUCAGAUUCAUAGGCUGUAGCUACAGGAUGAGAAGAGGCCCCCACCAGUGAAAGCCCUAAAGUACCGGCUCUAUUCUUUCCAGUAGUAAUUCCAGCUUAUCCGGGCACUACUCCAUUCUUGGUAGUAGUGAUAUCAGUCUCGGAAGUGGGAGUCCCGGAAUCCAGGGGCUUUUAUAUCAGUGUUAAAGAAAGAAAGUAAGGGAUACAAGAUUUGAUCAAAGGGUGGUUAGUUUGUUGCAUCUCAUCCUUUCCCUUAGUUGUUAGUUUCUUUGACUUACUUGCUUGAUUCUAACUAGGCCUAUUGCUUUAUAUACAUUCUUUGAAUUGGAGAUUGAAUUGAGUUCUAGAUUGGAUUCCUUAACUAAACUAACAAAGCAAGAUUAGGUGUAUACAAGGGAAUACUCAAACUAGCAAACUAGACUCUAGCCAAGGAGGGGAAGUUUGAAAUAAACAAGUAAGGAUCUAAAUCACAGGCUGGGAGAAAG
rnacentral:lncRNA from 1 species